CACACUGGCCACCUAUUUCAGGUAAAUACCUUACACAUAAGUGACUAAUGUGACUGCUCAAAUUAUAAGUAUAUCAGAAAUGGUCUGCCUGUUUGAACACAGCCCUGAUACUAGUGACAAUUGACCCAACAUUUAGUUCUCUUUGGUGUACAACAGUGAGGACAUGAUCUCCAACAGAGAACAAUAAAGUGCAUGUGGACGUGUAGAGACUUAGUGGUGUCAAAUUUGUCUCCAAAAUAAACAUUCUCACCCGAAGAGUUUCUGAUUGGUUUAUUCAAACCCAUGUCAGUUGUACAGUUAUGGGAAAUGAUUAUUCAGACACUGUUCAACCCUGACCAUCUGGUAGUACAGGUAGACAGGGAAAUGCACAACCAUUAUCACCAUGGUUCAAGAAUACUGCAACUACCUGUUCAACCUACUAAUGAUCAUUUCUGAAGGUCUCUCUCAGCUGGUAGAAACACAGCAGGUAGUCAUAGUAACCCUGGGAGGAGAUGCUCAGUUCAGCUGCAGACUCAUGGAACCCAGAGACGUCCUGCAAGUCACCUGGCAAAAAGAGACACCAGGAGGGAAUGAAAAUGUGGCCUCCUACAACAAACGUUUUGGUCCAAAAGUAAACCCACCUUUUAAUAUGAAAGUCUUGUUUCUAAAUGUGGGACUACAGAACUGCUCUGUCAUCAUCAGAGGAGUAUCAAGAGAAGAUGAGAGCUGCUACAAGUGUCUGUUUAAUAUUUACCCAGAUGGAGCUAUCAGUGGAAGGACCUGCCUUCAAGUUAAUGAGUUGUAUGGACCCACACUCCUAGUUACACAAAUCAAUGACACCCUGCCCCUCUUCUCUGGGUUAACUCUCUCCUGCUCUGCCACGGGACGACCUGCUCCAGUAGUGGACUUGUUUCUCCCAGUACAAUUGGUUUUGGAAAACUCUACUACGGACAAUGUCGCCCAUCCCAAUGGAACUGUUACUGUCACCAUAAUUUCCAUAGUGGCAGUUCCCAGUCUACCUUACAAUGACACCAUGGUUAGGUGUUUGGCAUCAUCCAGCUAUGUCAUCAGGGAGGGAUCCAUAAAGAUUCCAACAUCCUUAACUGGAUCAACUCCGCCUCCAGUCUCCAAUGAUGGUUGGAUAAGGAGUCAUGGGACAGUGGGUGGAGUAAUGUGUUUAGUGGUUCUCAUUGCUUUAAUCUGCAACAUAAUUUGGUGGCUACGUAAGAGAAGCAACGCAGGGACAAGGUGCCCAACGCCCUGUCCACGGUUCCCUCCUGAACUGAGGAUUUUUUAGGGGGGGGUCUUGACAGCACCCCCUCUACAUCCGGUGUCAGCUCCAAGUGCCCGAGGAGGAGUGGCCUGAGGAGGAUUGGCCACUCCUCUCCUGUCCCGACCGCCACAGCGUCCUCUACUGGCCCGGCCGCCACGGCGCCCUCGACUGGCCCGGCCUCUCCGCCUCCGUUUUUUGCAAUAAUAUUUUAGAUGAAAAUAUGCAUAAUUUCCCAAUCAGUACUUUAUUGUAGCCUGGGGGAGUUUAAUUUGGGGAAAGACUUAAUGAAGUUUUCCUGAUUUACAAAUAGGCUACCAGGGCUACAUUCACACACACAGAACUCACUUCAGGUAAAUACCUUAAAAAUAAGUAACUGAUGUGAUUGGUCAAAUUAUAUUAACAUCAGAAAAGUUCAAUACAGUCCUGACACUAGUGACCCUUGACCCAACAUGUAGUUCUCCCUGGUGUACAGCAGUAAUGACAUGAUCUCCAGCAGAGAACAAUAAAGUGCAUGUUGACGUGUACAGACAACUGUCAAAUUUGUCUCCAAAAUAAACAUUCUCACCAGAAGAGUUUCUGAUUGGUUUAUUCAAACCCAUGUCAGUUGUACAGUUAUGGGAAAGGAUUAUUCAGACACCUAUCAACCCUGACCAUCUGGUAGUACAGGUAGACAGGGAAAUGCACAACCAUUAUCACCAUGGUUCAAGCAUACUGCAACUACCUGUUCAACCUGCUAAUGAUCAUUUCUAAAGGCCCGCAACCUUGGCGUUAUCUUUGAUUCUACCCUCUCCUUUGAGCCUCACAUCCGUCAAGUCAUUAAAACCUCCUUCUUUCACCUCCGCAACAUCGCCAAAAUCAGACCCUCUCUCACACCCCCCCUGCUGAAAGACUCAUUCACACCUUCAUCUCCUCGCGACUGGACUAUUGCAACUCACUUCUCCUCUGCCUCAGCUCUACCAACAUCAACCGACUCCAAUUGGUCCAAGCAGCCCGACUCAUCACCCGCUCCAAAUCCUGGCACCACAUCAUUCCAGUCCUAAAACAACUCCACUGGCUUCCUGUCUCCCACCGGAUCACCUAUAAAAUCCUGAUCCUCACCUACAAAGCCCUCCACCAUUUGGCCCCCUCAUACCUCACUGACCUCCUCUCCCCGUACC